GACGAACGCUGGCGGCGUGCCUAAUACAUGCAAGUCGAACGAACUCUGGUUUUUGAUUGACGGUGCUUGCACCUGAUUGAUUAAACAUUUGAGUGAGUGGCGAACUGGUGAGUAACACGUAGGAAACCUGCCCAGAAGCGGGGGAUAACACCUGGAAACAGAUGCUAAUACCGCAUAACAACUUGAACCGCAUGGUUCGAGUUUGAAAGAUGGCUCUGCUAUCACUUCUGGAUGGUCCUGCGGCGUAUUAGCUAGAUGGUGAGGUAACGGCUCACCAUGGCAAUGAUACGUAGCCGACCUGAGAGGGUAAUCGGCCACAUUGGGACUGAGACACGGCCCAAACUCCUACGGGAGGCAGCAGUAGGGAAUCUUCCACAAUGGACGAAAGUCUGAUGGAGCAACGCCGCGUGAGUGAAGAAGGGUUUCGGCUCGUAAAACUCUGUUGUUAGAGAAGAACAUAUCUGAGAGUAACUGUUCAGGUAUUGACGGUAUCUAACCAGAAAGCCACGGCUAACUACGUGCCAGCAGCCGCCGCGG
rnacentral:rRNA from 1 species